ACAUUCGUGGCCAAGUCGAGCGGGACAGAUGGGAGCUUGCUCCCUGAUGUUAGCGGCGGACGGGUGAGUAACACGUGGGUAACCUGCCUGUAAGACUGGGAUAACUCCGGGAAACCGGGGCUAAUACCGGAUGCUUGUUUGAACCGCAUGGUUCAGACAUAAAAGGUGGCUUCGGCUACCACUUACAGAUGGACCCGCGGCGCAUUAGCUAGUUGGUGAGGUAACGGCUCACCAAGGCAACGAUGCGUAGCCGACCUGAGAGGGUGAUCGGCCACACUGGGACUGAGACACGGCCCAGACUCCUACGGGAGGCAGCAGUAGGGAAUCUUCCGCAAUGGACGAAAGUCUGACGGAGCAACGCCGCGUGAGUGAUGAAGGUUUUCGGAUCGUAAAGCUCUGUUGUUAGGGAAGAACAAGUGCCGUUCAAAUAGGGCGGCACCUUGACGGUACCUAACCAGAAAGCCACGGAUAACUACGUGCCAGCAGCCGCGGUAAUACGUAGGUGGCAAGCGUUGUCCGGAAUUAUUGGGCGUAAGGGCUCGCAGGCGGUUUCUUAAGUCUGAUGUGAAAGCCCCCGGCUCAACCGGGGAGGGUCAUUGGAAACUGGGGAACUUGAGUGCAGAAGAGGAGAGUGGAAUUCCACGUGUAGCGGUGAAAUGCGUAGAGAUGUGGAGGAACACCAGUGGCGAAGGCGACUCUCUGGUCUGUAACUGACGCUGAGGAGCGAAAGCGUGGGGAGCGAACAGGAUUAGAUACCCUGGUAGUCCACGCCGUAAACGAUGAGUGCUAAGUGUUAGGGGGUUUCCGCCCCUUAGUGCUGCAGCUAACGCAUUAAGCACUCCGCCUGGGGAGUACGGUCGCAAGACUGAAACUCAAAGGAAUUGACGGGGGCCCGCACAAGCGGUGGAGCAUGUGGUUUAAUUCGAAGCAACGCGAAGAACCUUACCAGGUCUUGACAUCCUCUGACAAUCCUAGAGAUAGGACGUCCCCUUCGGGGGCAGAGUGACAGGUGGUGCAUGGUUGUCGUCAGCUCGUGUCGUGAGAUGUUGGGUUAAGUCCCGCAACGAGCGCAACCCUUGAUCUUAGUUGCCAGCAUUCAGUUGGGCACUCUAAGGUGACUGCCGGUGACAAACCGGAGGAAGGUGG
rnacentral:rRNA from 1 species